rnacentral:lncRNA from 1 species
UCUAGAUCUAUUGGGUUGAACACUUAAUUCUUAAUUAAGUUUUGCAUCAACGUGGUUAAGAUUUUAAAAAUAAUCUUUUAUAUAAACUUUUUACGUCAAAUCAUAAAAGCUUUUAGAUCAAAUCUAAAUUUUUUAAAUUUUAAAUCAAAAUAAUUUUGAUUAAUCAAGAUUAGAUGUAACUAACCAUCUUUGCAACUUACAUUACAUACAACAACACCAAGGGUUUUCAAGAUCCAGAGUUUUGUAAGAAAGUAUAUUUUCUCUUUUUGCUUUCUUCUUUAUGGGAUCUCACAGUAGCACCCC